rnacentral:hammerhead_ribozyme from 1 species
AUCCGGCCGACGAGCCUCAAGUAGGACGAAACACGCGUCCCGGAU